GAUUAUGGCUCAGAACGAACGCUGGUGGCGUGUCUUAUACAUGCAAGUCGAGCGAGGCAGCAAUGCCUAGCGGCGAACGGAUGAGUAACGCGUAAGCAAUCUGCCCCAUAUCAGGAAAUACCCGUGCCAACGCGCGGUUAAUGUCCAGGAGCGUGGCCUUCCGCAUGGGAGGUUGACAAGAGAUUUAUCGGUAUGGGAUGAGCUUGCGUCCGAUUAGCUAGUUGGCGGGGCAACGGCCCACCAAGGCGACGAUCGGUAGCCGGCCUGAGAGGGUGAUCGGCCACAUUGGGACUGAGAUACGGCCCAGACUCCUACGGGAGGCAGCAGUAGGGAAUAUUGCACAAUGGGGGAAACCCUGAUGCAGCAACGCCACGUGUGGGAAGAAGCAUUUCGGUGUGUAAACCACUGUCGUGAGGGAAUAAGGCGUCUUCUCGGAGACGUUGAAUGUACCUCGAAAGGAAGCACCGGCAAACUUCGUGCCAGCCGCAGC
rnacentral:rRNA from 1 species